UACAGAGGUCCCAAGCGUUGUUCGGAUUCAUUGGGCGUAAAGGGUGCGUAGGUGGCGCCGUAAGUGGGGUGUGAAAUUUCGGAGCUUAACUCCGAAACUGCAUUCCAUACUGCGAUGCUUGAGGACUGGAGAGGAGACUGGAAUUCAUGGUGUAGCAGUGAAAUGCGUAGAGAUCAUGAGGAAGACCAGUGGCGAAGGCGGGUCGUCUGGACAGUUCCUGACACUGAGGCACGAAGGCCAGGGGAGCAAACGGG
rnacentral:rRNA from 1 species